AAUACUCACAUAAUUUGUGAUUCUAAUAGGCUUCCUGCACCGACAUUUGAUGCCUUUCUAUUGUAAAUCUUCACCAAGUUGCCAUUUGUUUUUGUGGAAAUACAAACCAGAUGUAUGACCUUGAGUGAAGGAAUGCUAUUCCAUGAGUGAAGGAGCUCGAGGUGAACAGGCGGUGUGGGAAGGCGAGAGGAACCAGGAGCUCAUCCCUCCUCCCAUGGCUGCCUCGUGGAUCUGGAGUAUAAGGAGGACAACAUGUGCCUGUUGCAGGCGGCUCGAGCGAUGCAAGCCGGCGACGAACUAGGUGCUCCACUCUUUCUCCCCCUCUCUUAAUUUCUUCCUCACACGUAUUUUACUUUGCUAUUAUAUGGAUUUUUAAACUUGACGUGUGCAGAUCUGACAUAGAAGAGAGGAAGAAUAAUUUUAGCUAAGAGUGGAAUUUAGAGUUCAAAGAAUCAGUUGAUGCUAUUGACCAAAGAGCGAUUUUUGUUACAGUUCCUCUGAAUGAAUUAGUAAACCAGAAGGACCAAAACAUCAUCGCUCAGCCAUUGUUGUUAGAUUGAUGUUGCCUUGAUUACCACUUUGUUUGGUGGCUACACUAUAAAUUCUUGAGAUAUAGUGCAAUGGUUGAUAGUUUGUUGCAUAGUCAUAUUGAUUCUGCUGAACUAAUACUCUCUUUGUAUAUCUAGGAUUCCUACUAGAACAUGUCAUUCCAAAUUGUGACAAUGAUCUUUCUACUCAUGAGUAGUCCUUUUUUAUACUGAAUUUUGAUGCAUACUCUAUGCAGAAAAGAAGGCCUCCUCGGACGUUAAGAAGGUACAACUAGGUAGCAAUGGAAGUGCUCCAUUCAAAACCAAGUAAUAUCUCCGAAUUUUUACACUAGAAUGUAUGCAUGGUAAAUACCAUGACCUUGCAAAUUUACACAUGUCCCCUUCUUCUCCUUUUCUUAGGAACUUGGCAGAAGCUCUACAUAUGCAAAUGGAGGUUCAGACACAGCUCCAUGAACAGCUAUAGGUGCCUUCUCUGUUCCUAUUUUUGAGCUCUAAUAGGAUGGUGUUGUUGUCGCCUUGUCGGCAUAUAUUUCUGAUAGUAGGAGCAUUCUUUUUCUUGCUUCACAAUAAUUAUUGCGCUUUGUGUAUAUAUGAACCCAAAUCCCUAUUUAAAUGGGUGCUAAAUGUUUUUGCGGCAUGGUUGACUUUGGAGACUAGCGCUUUUAUAGUAUUGUUACGGACUCUGUUUUUUACUAAUAAUCGUAUUGAUUCUGC
rnacentral:lncRNA from 1 species